UGAGUCAGGACUCUGCGGGCUAC
rnacentral:misc_RNA from 1 species